AAUGUCUGAGAUUUAGAUGACGUCAGCUAUUUACAGCUGUUUUGCACAGAAAUGAACUUUCAGACACGAUGCAAUGCGUGUACGGAUACUUAUGUCAGAAAUAAUGUGAAAAGAGCUGGCUGUCUAGAUGUCCGAACUCGCUUGGCUAUAUUGGUUGUUUUGAAGCAUGUACGAGAUCUAGCGAAUCGCAGAGGUUUCAGUCAUUGGACUGCAGCCAUGUCGUGACAUCACCUUGAAGGGUCUUAAUCGAACGAAUCGACACUAACACAAUUGUUCGAGAAGGAAUAUAUGAAAGACAUUUGAUACCAAGAAAAAAAUAUAUCAUUGAUUACUGACCACCUAUGAGCACCUAAUCAGAACAACUGACCUAUGCCAACAAAAACAAAACAAAAAUACUAAGCGAUAUAUAUAUAUAUUGCGGCAUUUUCGAACAUUUUCAGAUACAACGGACUAUUUUGUCACUGAAAAGGUCGCAGCUUCGAGCGACGAAAAGUUUGACUCCGCAUUUCAA